GACGAACGCUGGCGGCGUGCCUAAUACAUGCAAGUCGAACGCAGUGGGGACGGGUGAGUAACACGUGGGUAACCUCCCAUCAGAGGGGAUAACACUUGGAAAAAGGUGAUAAACAGAUACGAGUGGUGGGACCGGGGGUGCAUUAGGUAGUUGGUGAGGUAACGGCUCACCAAGGCCACGAUGCAUAGCCGACGUGAGAGGGUGAUCUGCCACACUGGAACGGAGACACGGCCCAGACUCCUACGGGAGGCAGCAGUAGGACAUCUUCGGCAAUGGACGAAAGUCUGACCGAGCAACGCCGCGUGAUUGCAGAAGGUUUUCGGAUCGUAAAACUCUGUUGUUAGAGAAGCGGUAUCUAACCAGAAAGCCACGGCUAACUACGUGCCAGCAGCCGCGGUAAUUC
rnacentral:rRNA from 1 species